rnacentral:lncRNA from 1 species
GAUUAGCUAAAAGUAAACAGAGUUUGAAUAAAAUUCGUGAUAAUGUGAUACCUCUCCCUCGAAACAUCUUGUUCUGCUUUUUUACCAAAUUCAUGGCCUUUAGAAGAACAUCUGAGCUCUGAGGCCAUUCGAAAGUAAAAGAUUGCUUGAACAUAGGCGCUGGGAUGGGCUGGGACAGAGAUUUGAGAACGGAAGCAGCUUCUAAGUGACGAGGGGCGGGGUAGCAAAUCAUCUGUGGCCAAAAGGAUGACUCAUGGCUUGGGUGGUGUUUGCUGCUCUAGAAGUGGUUCCAGAGUGGAGCUGAUGACUGAUGACGGAGGCAGAGUAAAGUCUCCUGCAAUGGCCAGCUCUAUGCCGAGCAUCAGAGUCACCAGAGUGAUGUGUACCAUCACAAGGACAAGCGGCUUGUGGCAUAACCAUUUCCCCACAGAGAUGCUCUGUGUUGCCAUGGAAGAGUCACCAGAUGAAAACAGCCAACUUUGUGCCAUUUCAAGAUGAACAGCAAACCUGGAGGUUUGUCCAGAACCUCAGCUGGCUUUGUGGGAGUGAGACAUAUAUUAAACCACUGAGCUUUGGGAAUUGUUUCAUACCUCAGUGUGGUCUCUCAUGACAAGGGAUUGUUGGGAAAUAAUGAACAAGGUAGUAGAGACCCAAUAUUCCUUUCUUUCUGUCUCAAUGACUGUUUCCACUGAUGCAAAAAGCAGCCACAGCAAUGUGUAAAUAAAUAGAUAUACCUGUGUCCCAAUAAAGCUUUUUAUCAACAGCAAGUCUGGCUCAUUCCCUAGUGCUGGUCUUCGAUCUUGACUAAUGCUUUUGCUUUCUCAUACUUUAUUACAAAUACUCUAAAUGAUGAAAAGCAAAAGGCAUUUCAAGUAAAAACAGGAGCAAGUAAGACUGUCUGCUCUCACUACUUAAUAACACUGUUUGGGACCCUCCAGGAAUUACUCUCUUUUGGUUUUGGAUAAUUGUCUGCAACUCUAUCAGCAUCUUCAGCACCCACUAGUCUAGGAUUCCUGGGAAAGAAAGAGAGGGUGGGAUUUGUCUUCAUUUUCCUUCCCAGAAUUACCGAUGUUUUCUAAGAUGUGGGCUCACGGGUUAGCCCUUGUAAAGAGAGGAACUGUUUUUCUCUCCUGCCUCUGGGUGUCUGGGUGAGCAACCUUGCCAGAGAGUAGCUCUGGUCGAGCAGGUGGCAACAAUGAUGAUGGAGUUGCAAUCAGCUCUCCAAAGCCAGAAAGGCUCACAGUGGGAGAACAUGAAACCCAGACUUGAGUGUUACUGCUGUCCAGCUCUUGCCUUCCUCCCUGGGUUCUUGCCUGAAUGGACAGGAAGAUAGUGGGUUGCUUGAUCACGGACAGCUGACAAGAUAGACUUGACAGAUGAACCUGUGAUGGGUUGAAUGAGACAUAGGCUCAUAGAAUCAUCAGAGAGUGGCACUGUCUAAAAGGAUUAGGAGGUGUGGCCUUGUUGGAGGACCUGUGUCCCUG